GAUGAACGCUGGCGGCGUGCCUAAUACAUGCAAGUCGAGCGAACGGACGAGAAGCUUGCUUCUCUGAUGUUAGCGGCGGACGGGUGAGUAACACGUGGAUAACCUACCUAUAAGACUGGGAUAACUUCGGGAAACCGGAGCUAAUACCGGAUAAUAUUUUGAACCGCAUGGUUCAAAAGUGAAAGACGGUCUUGCUGUCACUUAUAGAUGGAUCCGCGCUUCAUUAGCUAGUUGGUAAGGUAACGGCUUACCAAGGCAACGAUGCAUAGCCGACCUGAGAGGGUGAACGGCCACACUGGAACUGAGACACGGUCCAGACUCCUACGGGAGGCAGCAGUAGGGAAUCUUCCGCAAUGGGCGAAAGCCUGACGGAGCAACGCCGCGUGAGUGAUGAAGGUCUUCGGAUCGUAAAACUCUGUUAUUAGGGAAGAACAUAUGUGUAAGUAACUGUGCACAUCUUGACGGUACCUAAUCAGAAAGCCACGGCUAACUACGUG
rnacentral:rRNA from 1 species